rnacentral:rRNA from 1 species
AGACAGCAGUAGCCGCGGGAAUACGUAGGGUGCGAGCGUUAAUCGGAAUUACUGGGCGUAAAGCGUGCGCAAGCGGUUAUAUAAGUCAGAUGUGAAAUCCCCGGGCUCAACCUGGGAACUGCAUUCGAGACUGUAUGGCUAGAGUGUGUCAGAGGGGGGUAGAAUUCCACGUGUAGCAGUGAAAUGCGUAGAUAUGUGGAGGAAUACCGAUGGCGAAGGCAGCCCCCUGGGAUAACACUGACGCUCAUGCACGAAAGCGUGGGGAGCAAACAGGAUUAGAUACCCCAGUAGUCCCUGUCUCUUAUAC